CUUUGCUCCUCUGAGCCAGGAGGUGGGAUAAGAGGCCCAUCAGGCCUGAAGGCCACUCCUCCAGGCAAAUCUGGGCUGCGACUGGGCUCUCUGAGUAGAUGGUGUGAUAUAAAUAUUUAGGCCCCACUAGCUGUUCACACCCUUCUCAGGGGGGACUCAAGACUUCACAGCUGCAGGGCUGUGAUUGAUGCCAUGCUCCUGACAGCGGCCAAGCAGGGAGUCCUGGAGACUCUUGGCCCUCGGAGCAGAAGGGAAGGGGCAGGGAGAGAGGGAGGAGGGGGAGGGCAGUCUCCGUCACUCACACCCUCAUUUAUCCUGUUCCUUCAGCCCACAGCCCUGCGCCCGGGAGCUGCAGGAGGCACACAGAGUGAUAAGCUGAUUCCUAAGGCGCUCUGUGCAGCUAGCGCGCGGGUGCUCCAGGGAGAAGAGGAUGAGUGGGGAGAGAAUGGGAAGGCAGGGAGGAGAGCAGGGAGCCGGAGGUGAGAGCGAGGAGGGGCCAGGGAGAAUGAAAACCCAGGCUGUUGGUGGUUUCUUCUUUUUUUAAGAGCCACAAGCUGAGAUCAAAGGUGAUAUUUUUGCAGCAACUGAAAUAGAAAACCACUGCGCGCACAGUGGGAGGUGAGCGGCGGGAACACAGGCCCCUUUAUGCAGCCUGUGGCCACAGCAAGCACGCUGCCCUCUGCCGAGUGUCAUGGGGCGUAGGGGACAGUGUGGCCUCCAUCCUCCCAACUUAGGUCCCAGAAAGAAGUGAAGGGGAUGAGCCACAGCUCUCGGUGCUGGGAGAGGAGGAGGCGGGCAGCCAAGGAUCGUAUGAGCACCCCGCGCCUGGCACCUUCCGCCAAGACCACCCUCGCCAUUCUUGCUGGAGGUGUGAGAUUGGAGCCAGGCCCUGGUCAUCCUCACAGAGCCCUGUGAGGAAGGGUCAUUAUCACCCCUGUUUUACGGAGGAGGAAACCAAGGCUGCAAGGGAAAAUGAUUUGGUCAAGUCGCACAGGGAGCAAAUUCAGGACUAGGAUCCCAGGACUCCUGGUCCGACACCCUGUCUGCUCUCUGUGCUCACUCACACACUCACGUGCUGAAUUAUUUAUUGCGCUUCUGCUAUUGCUGGUCCUAGCUGGCCCCGACAUAGCAGGGCCCACACUCAAGUCUACCAGGACACUGGUUCUCAAAGUGUGGUCGCAGGAUCAGCAGCAUCAGCCUCACCUGGGAACAUGCUAGAAAUGCAAAUUCUCAGGCCCCAACCCAGACUUACUGGACCAGAAACUCUGGGAGUAGACCCAGCCCUCCAUAUUUUAAUGACUUCUCCAGGGGAUUCUGAUAUGCACUGAAGUUGAGGGUCACUGUACUGUGUUACCUCAGUUUCCACAGCUGUGCUUCAGGGAAAAUUACAACGCCCAUCCCACAAGGUUGAGGCCAGUAUCAGCUAACACGCGUGCUGGGUGUGUGCCCUGCCUCCUUCUAGGCCCUUUACAGAUAUCAACUAAUUUAAUUUCACAACUCCGGGAGAUAGGAACUAAUAUUGUCCACAUUUCACAAAUGAGGACAUGAAGGCACAGAGAGGUAGAAUAACUCGCCCAGGGUCACACAGCUAGUAAGUGGCAGAGAUCCAAGCUCUUAACAGCUAACCAGCGGAAAGCCCCCAGCAGAGGGUCUGGCUCCCAGAAUGUGUUCCAGGCGUGGCUGAAGAUGUGAUGAUGGCAAUUACUAUUACCUCACCUGAAAUUGAGAUGAUGAUCCCCAUUUUGUAAAUGAGAAAUCGUCCACCUUGUCAAGAUGGAGGAGUGAGUCAGCUGCAAGGGCAGCCUCAGUGUCUGAAAGCCCAGUGCAGGCCACAGGCCCUCACCAUUCAUGCAGCUUCGAGACCACAAUCUAGCAUCUCGGUCUUCUGGAAACAUCCCAGUUUGCUGUAGGGAAGAGCUUGGGCUCCGACAGAGGUGGGCUGGAACCCUAAUUCUGCUACUCAGGGGCUGUGUGACCUUGGACAAGUUGCCUCACCUCUCUGAGCCACCUUUUUCUUCUCUGUAAAGUGAAUGAUGACAGUCCUAACCUUGCAGGUUGCUGUGAGGGUUGGAGAAGAUGACAUUUGUGCCCAGCCCAGAACAUGUACUGAGCUGGCCAUCAGCACGCAGCUUGUCCGUCUCUCCUCCCCCUCCCUGCUGCUACCUCCAUGGAAAGACCAGCUCUGGGCCCAGAAAACAGUUGAAAGAAGAAGAAAUAAGUUCCCAAAUGAUCACAAUGCAUUUAUCCUCCAGCCUCCCUGCCCUUUUCCAGAUCUCCUUGCAAUAGCUGCCUGGGCUGGGGCUUCUGGGGGAACUCUGGCACCUGCUCCAUCCAAGUUGGGAGGUAAGUAAGCUACGAAGGGAAGAGGAGGUGUCCUCUGAGCCACCACCGCCGCCCGGGGGGCCGCCAUCAGCCAAGCCUCUGCACACCCGCCUGCUGCGAGGCAGUCUGGCCUGGACAUCUGAAGCUCGUUAGCGGCCUGCUCCCGGGGGGCUGACCCUGCUUGGCGAGAGUUAUCCCAGACACAGCCGCAGAGGAUGGAGCCAACGAAGACCAGCUGGUCCCUGAGGAACAAGCCUUGACAGCAGGUCCUGGAAGACAGCCUUAGACCGGAUUCUGAAAAGGCCUGGCGUCUCUUCCCGAACAGCAGAGCUUCCGCCCAAACGGAACUGCUUAAGUGCAGGAUACAGUAGGAAAUACUCCCCGCCAGGACUCGGGAGCCUGCACCCAGCCCUGCCUAGUUUGUGGAUCGACUCUGUGUGACCUUGGGCCAAUCCCUGCCCUCUCAGUUUCUUCCACUGUAGAAUGAAGACUUGGACUUGACCAAGUGGUUUCCCCGCAGCCUAUCUCAGUCUUUCGGCUUCUCUUGGGCCAGGGCCGUGCCCUCUCCUCGGCACAAAGAGGUCGUGUGAGCACACAGCAAGAUGGCGGCCCUCUACAAGCCGGGAAGAGGGCUGCCACCGAGAACCAAUCUGCCAGCACCUUGCUCUUGGACCUCCAGCCUCCAGAACUGUCAGAAAUAAAUGUCUGUUGUUCAAGCCACCAGCCUGUGGGACUUUGUUAUAGCAGCCUGAGUGGCUUAGGACACAUCUAUGAAACAGGCAGAAUAACCCCUCCCCUGCCUACUGCUGAUAAGAACAAAAUGCAAUAACAACUAACCAUCCAUUUAGUCACGCAUUCAUUCAACCAAUGUUUAUGAAACACCUUCUGUGUAACAGGCCCUGUUCUAGGAGUGAGCUAAGGAGACAGAAAUCCCCGCCCUCAGGGGGCAGACAUUCUACUUGGAGCAGACAGACAGUAACCAGGUAAAGAAGCAAGCAUACAGCAUGUGGAUGGGUGAUGGUAAGUGCUGUGGAGGAGAAGUCCGCCUGCAGGGAGGACAGAGAGCG
rnacentral:lncRNA from 1 species